rnacentral:lncRNA from 1 species
GUAUUUGAGUUCUUUCCAGUUUUUGAAUGGAUGCUUGUAUUGCGAUGUAUUUCCCCCUUAGGACUGCUUUUGCUGCAUCCCAAAGAUUUUGAACGGUUGUAUCUUCAUUCUCAUUAGUUUCCAUGAAUCUUUUUAAUUCUUCCUUAAUUUCCUGGUUGACCCUUUUUCUUUUAGCAGGAUGGUCCUUAACCUCCAUGUGUUUGAGGUCCUUCCAAACUUCUUGUUGUGAUUUAGUUCUAAUUUCAAGGCAUUAUGGUCCGAGAAUAUGCAGGGGACAAUCCCAAUCUUUUGGUAUCGGUUCAGACCCGAUUUGUGACCCAUAUGUGGUCUAUUCUGGAGAAAGUUCCAUGUGCGCUUGAGAAGAAUGUGUAUUCAGUUGAGUUUGGAUGUAAAGUUCUGUAGAUAUCUGUGAAAUCCAUCUGGUCCAGUGUAUCAUUUAAAGCUCUCGUUUCUUUGGAGAUGUUUUGCUUAGAAGACCUAUCGAGUAUAGAAAGAGCUAGAUUGAAGUCACCAAGUAUAAGUGUAUUAUUAUCUAAGUAUUUCUUCACUUUGGUUAAUAAUUGAUUUAUAUAUUGGCAGCUCCCACAUUUGGAGCAUAUAUAUUGAGGAUUGUUAAGUCCUCUUGUUGAAUAGAUCCUUUAAGUAUGAUAUAGUGUCCCUCUUCAUCUCUCACUACAGUCUUUGGGGUAAAUUUUAGUUUAUCUGAUAUAAGGAUGGCUACCCCUGCUUUCUUUUGAGGACCAUUCGAAUGGUAAAUGGUUCUCCAACCUUUUAUUUUCAGGCUGUAGGUGUCCUUCUGUCUAAAAUGAGUCUCUUGUAGACAGCAAAUAGAUGGGUCCUGCUUUUUUAUCCAGUCUGAAACCCUGCGCCUUUUGAUGGGGUCAUUAAGCCCGUUCACAUUCAGAGUUACUAUUGAGAGAUAUGAGUUUAGUGUCAUCAUGAUAUCUAUUCAGUCUUUGUUUUUGUGGACUGUUCCACUGAACUUCUUCUUAAAGGGGGAAAUUUUUAAAAGGCCCCCUUAAAAUUUCUUGCAGAGCUGGUUUGGAGGUCACAUAUUCUUUUAGUUGCUGCCUGUCUUGGGAAACUCUUUAUCUCUCCUUCCAUUUGAAUGAGAGCCUUGCUGGAUAAAGUAUUCUUGGUUGCAUGUUCUUUUCAUUUAGGACCCUGAAUAUAUCCUGCCAGCCCUUUCUGGCCUGCCAGGUCUCUGUGGAGAGGUCUGCUGUUACCCUAAUACUCCUCCCCAUAAAAGUCAGGGAUUUCUUGUCUCUUGCUGCUUUAAGGAUCUUCUCCUUAUCUUUGGAAUUUGCAAGCUUCACAAUUAAAUGUCGAGGUGUUGAACGGUUUUUAUUGAUUUUAGGGGGGGAUCUCUCUAUUUCCUGGAUCUGAAUGCCUGUUUCCCUUCCCAGAUUAGGAAAGUUUUCAGCUAGAAUUUUUUCAAAUACAUAUUUUUGGCCCUCUGUCCCUUUCGGCGCCCUCGGGAACCCCAAUUAAACGUAGGUUUUUCUUCCUCAGGCUGUCGUUUAUUUCCCUUAAUCUAUCUUCAUGGUCUUUUAAUUGUUUUGUCUCUUUUUUCCUCAGUUUCCCUCUUUGCUGUCAACUUGUCUUCUAGGUCACUCACUCGUUCUUCCACCUCGUUAACCCUCGUCGUUAGGACUUCUAGUUUGGAUUGCAUCUCAUUCAAUUGGUUUUUAAUUUCUGCCUGAUUAGCUCUAAAUUCUGCAGUCAUGAAGUCUCUUGAGUCCUUUAUACUUUUUUCUAGAGCCACCAGUAGCUGUAUAAUAGUGCUUCUGAAUUGGCUUUCUGACAUUGAAUUGUAAUCCAGAUUUUGUAACUCUGUGGGAGAGAGGACUGUUUCUGAUUCUUUCUUUUGAGGUGAGGUUUUCCUUCUAGUCAUUCUGCUCAGUGCAGAGUGGCCAAAAGCAAGUUGUAUUGGGAAAAAGAGAAAAAGAGAGGAGAGAAAGAAGGAAAAAAAAAAGAAAGAGAAAAAAAAAAAAAAAAAAAAAAAAAAAA